AGUGAACGCUGGCGGUAGGCCUAACACAUGCAAGUCGAACGGCAGCACAGUAAGAGCUUGCUCUUACGGGUGGCGAGUGGCGGACGGGUGAGGAAUACAUCGGAAUCUACUUUUUCGUGGGGGAUAACGUAGGGAAACUUACGCUAAUACCGCAUACGACCUACGGGUGAAAGCAGGGGAUCUUCGGACCUUGCGCGAUUGAAUGAGCCGAUGUCGGAUUAGCUAGUUGGCGGGGUAAAGGCCCACCAAGGCGACGAUCCGUAGCUGGUCCGGGAGGAUGAACAGGCCACCUGGGACUUAGACACCGUACAGGGCCCUACCGGGGGCAGCAGUUGGGAAUAUUGGACAAUGGGCGCAAGCCUGAUCCAGCCAUACCGCGUGGGUGAAGAAGGCCUUCGGGUUGUAAAGCCCUUUUGUUGGGAAAGAAAAGCAGCAGGUUAAUACCCCGCUGUUCUGACGGUACCCAAAGAAUAAGCACCGGCUAACUUCGUG
rnacentral:rRNA from 1 species